UGGAGCAUGUGGUUUAAUUCGAAGCAACGCGAAGAACCUUACCAGGUCUUGACAUCCCGAUGCUAUUUCUAGAGAUAGAAAGUUACUUCGGUACAUCGGUGACAGGUGGUGCAUGGUUGUCGUCAGCUCGUGUCGUGAGAUGUUGGGUUAAGUCCCGCAACGAGCGCAACCCCUAUUGUUAGUUGCCAUCAUUCAGUUGGGCACUCUAGCGAGACUGCCGGUAAUAAACCGGAGGAAGGUGGGGAUGACGUCAAAUCAUCAUGCCCCUUAUGACCUGGGCUACACACGUGCUACAAUGGUUGGUACAACGAGUUGCGAGUCGGUGACGGCGAGCUAAUCUCUUAAAGCCAAUCUCAGUUCGGAUUGUAGGCUGCAACUCGCCUACAUGAAGUCGGAAUCGCUAGUAAUCGCGGAUCAGCACGCCGCGGUGAAUACCGGUUCCCGGGCCUU
rnacentral:rRNA from 1 species